AUGGGAGGAGAGGAGGAGGUUGCACAGCCGCCUGACCAUGGCGACAAGUCGUCGUGGCCGGAACUGGUUGGAAGCUGGUACAUGGACGCAGCAUUCACGAUCGCGCACGAAAGGCCAGGAGUCUCCGUCCACUUCUACGAUUUCGACUGGACCGGCCCGCCGCCGGCAGGGUUCGACCCCAAGCGCGUGGCCCUCUUCUCCGACGCCCAUAAGGUCGUCGCCCAAGUUCCCAAGAUCGGCUAG
rnacentral:rRNA from 1 species